ensembl:snRNA U6 U6 spliceosomal RNA
GUGCUUGCCUCGGCAGCACAUAAAAUAAUACUGAAAUCAUUCAGAGAAGGUUAGCCUGGCUCCUGUGCAAGGAUGACAUGAAAAUCUGUGAAACAUUUCAUGUAUUU